rnacentral:rRNA from 1 species
UACGUAAUCCCUAAGUGGUAUCCAUGUAUAUUGGGCCUAAAGCGUUCGUAGCCGGCUUUGUAAGUCCUUGGUGAAAAUGGCUCGCUCAACGAGUCAAAUGGCUAAGGAUACUGCAGGGCUAAGAGGCCAGGAGAGGUCAAAGGAAUUACGGGGGUAACGGUGAAAUGUUGUGAUCCUCGUAGGACCACCGGUAGCGAAGGCGUUUGACCAGAAUGGUCCUGACGGUGAGGAACGAAAGCUGGGGGAGCGACCCGG